rnacentral:lncRNA from 1 species
UGCAUACUUAGGCCCCACCUCCUUGCUCUAAGGUUCCAUGUUGUUGAAAUUGGACUCACAGCUGGAGGGUUGGAUGGCUUCCUGAUGUCCUCCACCCAGCUUGGCUUGGGGACACAAAGCAGGAGACUGGGGUAGAGUGGCCCUGUAACAGUGAACAGCAGCACCAGGAUCUUGGGACUCUUGAGAACAGCAAAUCCUCACCUAUGCUUUAUGGGACUUAAUUUGGAGGAAACACAGCUGGGUGCAUGGAGAUACUGGAGGCAGGAGGACCGUUGGGGAGAGAGCUGGCAUUACAAGCAUGUACACCUGGCUUCACGUGGUUCUGGGAACUUAACCUAUGAUUUGGUGCAAGCUAAUCCAGCACUCCCCAACAGGGACCAGAAACCAAUCUCCAGAUGAAACAAAGGUGCAUCUCUCCAGCUCUAAGGUUUGCUCUCAACCUCAAGUCCCUUUCUUCUGCCGCCCUUACAUGAAGUUGUGAAUAUUUGCUGGUCUGACCAGGCAAGGGCACAGCGGGGCAACAUGCUGAGCUCUGGAGCCAGAAAAGAAGCAGGUCCCACCAUCAGUGUUGCUAGCAAGGGAAGAGAGAAUCCCACUAAUGAGGUCUCUGGGGUAUCCUGCUUCUGGGUCCUGACCCUCAGGGGAGAGCUCCCUCUCAGAGUAUAGGUCUCCAGCUGUGCCAGUCAUCAGCUGGCCACUCCCACUCUAAUGUAUAACAAAACACACAGGCUUUUCCCUGGCUUCCAGACUCCAUCUCUUCAACUUAGAGAGCCGGUUGGAAUCUGCCUGGAUCCUUUCACCCUGUGCUGCCAUCCAGAAAAUACUCACUCACUUAUGAAGAAGUGAUUGUAAAGAGGUAAACUUCAAGAGACUUUGAAAGAAUUUUGUGUUUCAGAAAAUACAGGAAGAAGACAUUGGGUUUAAGAAUCAGAAAUCUGUUGGGGCCAUGGAUGUGCCCAUCUAACAUUGCAACACUGAAGAGAUGAAUCAGUUUUCUAGGUUUCAUUUCAACCACUCUUUGGGGCUGAAUAAAGGAUCAUCCCACUUUUACGGAUGGUGUGGGCCUAAGCUAAAUACACAAAGAUGGACAUCCAGGCUUAAGCUGCAAUUGUGAUAAUCCAAAGCCACUAAAGAAAUGAAAAGAACUUCAAAGAAAUAUCAUUUCACAAGAAUUCCAAACAUUAU